rnacentral:rRNA from 1 species
AAUGAACGCUGGCGGCGUGCCUAAUACAUGCAAGUCGAGCGAACAGACGAGGAGCUUGCUCCUUUGACGUUAGCGGCGGACGGGUGAGUAACACGUGGGUAACCUACCUAUAAGACUGGGAUAACUUCGGGAAACCGGAGCUAAUACCGGAUAAUAUUUCGAACCGCAUGGUUCGAUAGUGAAAGAUGGCUUUGCUAUCACUUAUAGAUGGACCUGCGCCGUAUUAGCUAGUUGGUAAGGUAACGGCUUACCAAGGCAACGAUACGUAGCCGACCUGAGAGGGUGAUCGGCCACACUGGAACUGAGACACGGUCCAGACUCCUACGGGAGGCAGCAGUAGGGAAUCUUCCGCAAUGGGCGAAAGCCUGACGGAGCAACGCCGCGUGAGUGAUGAAGGUCUUCGGAUCGUAAAACUCUGUUAUUAGGGAAGAACAAACGUGUAAGUAACUGUGCACGUCUUGACGGUACCUAAUCAGAAAGCCACGGCUAACUACGUG